rfam:Schistosoma mansoni, Puerto Rico, WGS project CABG01000000 data, contig: 0262
AUCCAGUUGACGCGUCUCAAAUGGAACGGAACGCGCGUCAAACUGGAU